CUGUGAUAUGGUUGUGCUUGAGGGGUACGUGACUCAUCACAGGGGAUUUCUAUCGCUGGAACAAUCCUUGACUUAGUGAGCAGCUGCCUAGUUACAAAUGACACACCUGGUAGCUGGGGAAGAAGGUGUUCUGCUGUGCCUGUUGCUCUGGGAGCUGAUGGGAUCCUGCACUGCUGGGGAAGGAGGAACAAAGCUAUCAGGUCACCUGUCUGCUUGCGGAUGAUGCUAACAAGAGACUGAGGAAAUUUUGCCAGAUGGAACUCUCAGAAAAACCAGCAGUUGUGGACAAGGGGCCUUCAGGCCUGAGUUGAGGUCUGCUCCUUUUACCAAGGAGAUUACCCAAUAAGGUGGUGAGCGACUGCAAGAGAAGAAAAAAGAAACAAGGAAGAGAAUUUAUGUUAGAGACACUGUCCUCCUGGUAAUGCCAAACUAGUGCUGUCAUCUUCCUUGGAGUAGGCUGACAAUUCCAAUUCGAUGGAUCUAGGAUAUUAGUACAAAACACAAAGAUGUAUUUCUCACGUUUGUCUAGUGACUCUUCCCUAGACAGUGUUUGUGCAAGCUGUUUCUGGAAGAGAAGAUUAAAUGCAAAUCCUUGGAAUAAGUGUACUGGUAUUGACUUCAAUGACCACUCAGGAAACAAAGCUCCAAGUAAGAUGGCUGCAGGAGUUUAUUUUGACCCACACAUUAUAAAUGUUUUAAUAAAUAGCUAUGCUCUC
rnacentral:lncRNA from 7 species